ensembl:rRNA 5S_rRNA 5S ribosomal RNA
GCUUACGGCCACACCGGCCUGAUACGCCUGAUCUCGUCCGAUCUCGGAAGCUAAGCAGGGUCGGGCCUGGUUAGUACUUGGAUGGGAGACCGCCUGGGAAUACCAGGUGCUGUAAGCU